CCUGCAUAGAGGAGGAGGAGAGGAGGAGAGGGGGGGAUAGGGAGAGAGAGAAAAUGGGAGGCUAAGGUUAUAGCCAAGCCCUCUCUUUCUCUCCAUUGGUUAGAGUCCCCCUCCGUUCAUUCACUGCAAAAAAUGUCCAUCACACUAAGUCAUAGGGUCUCACGUUAAAAUCUUAUAAUCUUAUUUUUUCUCCUUAAAACACAUAAGAUUUUUUUUGCCAGUAGAGAUGACAAGACUCCACUUCUCUGAUGCAGGUCGACUCAUCUAAAAAAAUAAGUGUCAAUAUCUCGAAAUAAGUCAGAAUAAGGCAGAUCACUCCACCAAUGUCAAGAAAAUGACUCUCGAUUCAAAGAAAUUCUAGAGAUAAAUCGAUUUGCAUCGGAAACGAGUGAAUUGAUCUCGCCCCGUUGGCAGAUUCUUUCACUGGUUUUGAGGAAAAAUAAGAUUUCAAGACUCAGUACUGGACCAAAUGACUUGGUAAGAUGGACAUCUUUUGCAGUGUUGCUACCUACGACUGGAGGGGCUGGGGGGCUCUGACAGGCACAAUUUACAUUGAGCUCGCCCCGCGCUGCUAUUUACUUUGAAACCUGAUUAGUAUGGGCCGUCUAUUGUCACCAAAAAGAGGAAGAAACCCUGGAUAGAAUAGCAGAAAAAGCGGGGUAAAAGCAAGGGGGGUAUAAAGCUUUUACGCACGACAAAUAAACCAAAGAAAAAAAAAAAAAAAAAAAAAACCUACGCAGCGGCGACAGGGGGACUCUGGCACAGAAAUUCCCCAAAGUUUGAAAAUGGUUAGUCUUGGACUGGCAUCUUUAUUAUUAAAUGAAGGAAUAUUAUUAUUGUCCAGCCGCGGAUUAUUGUUAUUACACACGUUAUUUUGUUUUUGGCAUGCGCAUUGCGGUACAUCCUCGUUUGUAAUCGCUAUGUUCUCGGCGAUAAAAACUUAAAUUUUAGUGCAAACCUGCUUAUAAAACGAGGGAAAUAGCAAAGGAAGAAUGAUGCAUAAUAGGCAGUGUGUUUGACAAACGGGAUGCGGUGCCAGCGGCCGAAAAUCUCUAAAAUUAGACGGAGCAAUGAGCAAUAUUCAAUAAUUACCGAGGUCCUAUAGUCUUCCCAAUCACUGAGAGGGUGUCACGUUAUGUCUUAAUAAUGACAGUAAUUCAAAAUCAUGUGAAGUUGUUUGAAAUUUGCAUGGGGAUUCCGGCUUUUUUGUACAAGGGUUUCUGCAGGCUUCCUACCUCUCCAACUCAAAAAUGUCUGGAUCGCGCUGCCAUCUAGCGUACAAUGUACAAUUACAACCUGAUAUUAAUGCAUGCAUAAGUUAUCAAGCAUGAAUUUUUUAAAACUUGUAAAGUUUAUAAAAAAAAAAAUCAAAUACGUGUCUUUGCUCAGUGCCAUUUUUCACUAUGUUUUCUUGUUCUGUUUUCUAAAAUGAAUCGGCCUCGUAAAGUUUAUGUUUAUUAUAAGUUUUGGACUUUUUGUUUUGUUUUCAUUUCUCCAUAUUAGUCUUUGCAUUGCAACAAAUAAAAGCAGCCUCUUAAAUAGAGUAAAUUUCAUCAUUUAGUUUUUUUUUUUUUUUUUUUUUUUUUAGAAAAUACAAGGUAAGAAUGCUGUGCGUAAAAUAUCUCCAAAACAUGGCAAUACAAACAGACCAUGUGGCUAAGGAAUAACCAUUCAUAAUACAUCAAAUUAUUGUUUAAUCAAAACUAAUGUACACCAUUUUAAACAGCGCUUUAAGCACAUAGCGAUAUUAGCAGUUAUAAUGGAGCGUAAAUAUGCAAGUGCCCCCUUUGGAAACGCAUAGGAGGGAUGGGUUGUUUUUUAAGUAUUCAACAACAGAGCUCUCUCUCCCGUCCCUGUCUCGGACACUCCACUGAAACUCCCCGGCCAUGUCUCCAGCUCUUUGAAAAGGUGAAACCAAUAAGAUUAAAUCGGACAAAGAUUUUUUUUCCUGUAAGUGUAUCAUUAAGAUUUAACUCCACAGAUUGGAAAGGGGCUUUGCAGGAGCAGAAGAGAGGAGAGUGAGAGGGACAGCGAAUGGGAGCAGGGUAAAGACUCUAAUAGAAAGCUAGAGCUGGGUAACAGCGAGAGAAAAGGGAGAAAGUGGACAGCAGGACAUUAAAGGAAGAAGCACAAGCGACGGCGGUUACCAGUGGCGGACCAGCUUUCUACCUGGAUAAAGCAAGCAACCAGGGCUGCAGAGGAGAGCGACAAGACAACCGCCCUACCAUACAGAGAGCAACAUGGUGGCAGAGUCUUUCUGCACAGCAAAUCCUACUGUCGUGGUGCCAGGAUUGACAUCGGGACAAGAUGUAAAUUAUGGGAGCAUGCCGUAAUGUAUUGAUGGCCCCAGCUUGAUUACAGGACAAUAACACUGAUAUCAUUGCUUAGUAUAUGUCUGUGUGUACAUGCCUGUGUGUUUGGAUUAGUUCUCAAUGACAGUGAAGAGCUUAUUGUACUCAAUUAUGUUAGUUUCAAAUAUAGUAUUGUAAGUUAAAGGAACAGUCACAGAAUAGAUGGUAAAACAGUGAGCAGGAUAAUGCCUUCACUGAAUUUCAGUAUUCAGCUCAGACUUUAGUUUUCCAGAAGGCUAGUGCAUUAUUAGAGUGUGUGUUUACAGAGAACUAACCUUCAUUCCAAGCUGCUCUGCUCACAACCUGAUCCAAGCAUCCUGGCACUCAGUCGUUUUGGAACAAAACAGAUCAUAAAAUAUUUUUUUGAGAAGCUAGUCGCUGCUCGUUUGGUAAGUUUAGGUCAACGUAACUGUUCCUAUCAAUAAAACAGAUAAAAGGAGGAGAGAUAUUUAUGGUGACACAUAGAUACAGUGUGGGUGAAUGUGAACUGAGUAUAUGUGUCAGAGUGCCGAAGGAGAGUGAGGGAAAAAUUGAGGGAGACACUCUCAUAGACACCUCUCACAUGUUUGUGUGUUUACUUGUGUGUGUGUGUGUGUGUGUGUGUGUGUGGGUGGGUGGGUGUGAGUGUGUGAUAGGCGCGUCAGUUUACCUCAGAUGUUCCCUUUGACCUUCAGCCCUCGAGUUGGGGUCAAGCCCUGACAAAUGAGAUGGCUGACUUCUGGGCAGACCCACAAACAUUCCACAACAAUCUUCUGUCUUCCUCCUCCUCCCCUCUCCUCCUCUCUUCCCAUCCUUCUUUCUUCAUCCCUUCACUCCUCUCAGGGCUCUUGUCUCUCCUCCAUGACUCAAAGAAAGUUCUCAUUACACACAAACAUGUUUUAUCAUUUUGGGGGGGAGGCUAUAGGAAUCUUAAAGCACACACGCUUCAAGUUAAGAAUUACAACAACACUUAAAUUUAAUAUGCCUGCGAUCCUGACAUCUGCUUUGUUUACAGAAGGAAAGAAAACAAAGGAGUAUGAUCUUAGGAGCAAGGCUGUGUAAAAGAUUUGGAUAUUACAAGUCUGCCCUUUGAGAGCACACUGUGUGUGUUUGGAGAGCUUGUCAGUGAUGUCAAGGAUGAGAAAUGUUAUAGUGUGGUUUUUUACACACGCUGCUGGCUCUAGCAUUUCCGGCAACAUUUCUCACUCUGCCUCCCUCACACCAUCCGCUCUGCUGCAAUAUCCCCACAUUUUUCCAUCCUUUCACUUCUGCCUCUGCCUCCUUCCUUCCUUCCCUCCCUCCCUCCCCACCCGCUCUGCUCCUUUCCACUCUCUGACCACUCUCUCUCCCCUUAACUCCUCUCUGCUGCCCCACCCUUCCCGAUCUCCCCUGCUUGCUCCCUCCGCCUACUGUUUCCACCUACUAUUUCCUCUGAUUUUCUACCAUGCCGCUCCACAGAAUGCUACCACCUGUGUCUUUAGGGAAUAAAGGGGCUAUUGGUAUUCCUCAUUGCGAGGCUGGUUAAGGUAAGUGGCACCCCCUAUUACAAUGACAUGCCAAAUAAUGGCUCUGGUUGUUGUGUUUCUGCAUUAGUUUUUUUUUUCUUUUCAUGGAAUGACCCCUGCUUCCUAAGAAUCACCACCCUCCAUCACAGCUCUAGCUUCAAGUCUCUGCUGUAAAAACACAUGCAGUCACCACUGAUGAGCGUCAGGAAAGCAACCGCAGCGCCACAGAGGAACCCCAGGACCAACAAAGGAGGCUGAUACAUUAACAACUGAGGGGAUCAUGAUCUUGAACUUGCUUUUGUAAUGAUGUAACAUUACAAAGAAAAACUGCAACACAGCAAAGAUCUUAAUAAAAACGCAUCAAUCUAUA